ensembl:misc_RNA Metazoa_SRP Metazoan signal recognition particle RNA
GCCAGGCGUGGUGGCACGUGCCUGUAGUCCCAGCUACUCGGGAGGCCGAGGUGGGAGGAUCUCUUGAGCCCAGGAGUUCUGGGCUGUAGUGCGCUAUGUCAAUUGGGUGUCUACACUAAGUUCGGCAUCAAUCUGGUGACCUCCUGGGAGUGGGGGACCACCAGGUUGCCUAAGGAGGGGUGAACCGGCCCAGGUCGGAAACGGAGCAGGUCAAAACUCCCAUGCUGAUCAGUGGUGGGAUCAUACCUCUGAAUAGCCACUGCACUCCAGCCUGGGCAUCAUAGCAAGACCUCAUCUCUA